rnacentral:rRNA from 1 species
UACGUAGGGGGCAAGCGUUGUCCGGAAUUAUUGGGCGUAAAGAGCGUGUAGGCGGUCCGGUAAGUCAGCUGUGAAAGUCAAGGGCUCAACCCUUGAAUGCCGGUUGAUACUGUCGGGCUAGAGUCCGGAAGAGGCGAGUGGAAUUCCCGGUGUAGCGGUGAAAUGCGCAGAUAUCGGGAGGAACACCAGUGGCGAAGGCGACUACCUGGCCUGUUUCUUGACGCUGAGGCGCGAAAGCUAGGGGAGCAAACGGG